GCUGGAGGUAUCAGAAGUGCGAAUGCUGACAUAAGUAACGAUAAAGCGGGUGAAAAGCCCGCUCGCCGGAAGACCAAGGGUUCCUGUCCAACGUUAAUCGGGGCAGGGUGAGUCGACCCCUAAGGCGAGGCCGAAAGGCGUAGUCGAUGGGAAACGGGUUAAUAUUCCCGUACUUGGUGUUACUGCGAAGGGGGGACGGAGAAGGCUAUGUUGGCCGGGCGACGGUUGUCCCGGUUUAAGCGUGUAGGUGUGUGUUCCAGGUAAAUCCGGUUCACUUUAACACUGAGGCGUGACGACGAGGCACUACGGUGCUGAAGCAACAAAUGCCCUGCUUCCAGGAAAAGCCUCUAAGCAUCAGGUAACAUCAAAUCGUACCCCAAACCGACACAGGUGGUCAGGUAGAGAAUACCAAGGCGCUUGAGAGAACUCGGGUGAAGGAACUAGGCAAAAUGGUGCCGUAACU
rnacentral:rRNA from 2 species